UUGCCUCAGUAACGGCGAGUGAAGCGGCAAUAGCUCAAAUUUGAAAUCUGGCUCUUUCAGGGUCCGAGUUGUAAUUUGCAGAGGGCGCUUUGGAGUCGACAGCAGCCUAAGUUCCUUGGAACAGGUCAUCAUAGAGGGUGAGAAUCCCGUAUGUGGCUGCUUGCCUUCGCCGUGUAAAGCCCCUUCGAUGAGUCGAGUUGUUUGGGAAUGCAGCUCUAAAUGGGAGGUAAAUUUCUUCUAAAGCUAAAUAUUGGCCAGAGACCGAUAGCGCACAAGUAGAGUGAUCGAAAGAUGAAAAGCACUUUGGAAAGAGAGUCAAAAAGCACGUGAAAUUGUUGAAAGGGAAGCGCUUGCAGCCAGACGUGCCCGUAGUUGCUCAUCUGGGGUUCUCCCCAGUGCACUCUUCUAUGGGCAGGCCAGCAUCAGUCCGGGCGGUUGGAGAAAGACCUGUGUCACGUAGCUCUCUUCGGGGAGUGUUAUAGGGCAGGUGGAAUGCAACCAGCCUGGACUGAGGUCCGCGCAUCUGCUAGGAUGCUGGCGUAAUGGCUGUAAGCGGCCCGUCUUGAAACACGGACCAAGGAGUCUAACAUCUAUGCGAGUGUUUGGGUGUCAAGCCCGAGCGCGUAAUGAAAGUGAACGGAGGUGGGAACCCCUCGGGGUGCACCAUCGACCGAUCCUGAUGUCUUCGGAUGGAUUUGAGUAAGAGCAUAGCUGUUGGGACCCGAAAGAUGGUGAACUAUGCCUGAAUAGGGUGAAGCCAGAGGAAACUCUGGUGGAGGCUCGCAGCGGUUCUGACGUGCAAAUCGAUCGUCAAAUUUGGGCAUAGGGGCGAAAGACUAAUCGAACUAUCUAGUAGCUGGUUCCUGCCGAAGUUUCCCUCAGGAUAGCAGUAACGUUUUCAGUUUUAUGAGGUAAAGCGAAUGAUUAGAGGCCUGGGGGUUGAAACAACCUUCACCUAUUCUCAAACUUUAAAUAUGUAAGAAGUCCUUGUUUCUUAAUUGAACGUGGACAUU
rnacentral:rRNA from 1 species